rnacentral:rRNA from 1 species
AGAGAGAAGCAAUACCGCGAGGUGGAGCAAAACUUCAAAAAUGGUCUCAGUUCGGACUGUAGGCUGCAACUCGCCUACACGAAGUUGGAAUUGCUAGUAAUCGCGGAUCAGCAUGCCGCGGUGAAUACGUUCCCGGGCCUUGUACACACCGCCCGUCACACCAUGAGAGUCGGGAACACCCGAAGUCCGUAGCCUAACCGCAAGGGGGCGCGGCCGAAGGUGGGUUCGAUAAUUGGGGUGAAGUCGUAACAAGGUAUC